GAAGGGAGAGGGAGAGGGAAAGGGAGCCGGGUUGACACAGAGAGAGAGGAAAGGAGGAGGAGAGAGACAGGGAUGGAAUCAGGGAGAGAGAGAAACAAACAGAAAGACAGACGGGGACAGAACAAAGAUAACAGUUCCUGUUCUUUGGCUCAGAGUUCCUGCUUCCACUGAAGGAGUUCAGCUUUGGGAUCGUCUUGCCUUCCCAUCCUGCUCUCUGGUCUGCAAUGCAGCAUCGCAUCUCAAAUAGCCUUUUCAUUGGAUCUCCCCUGCCUCCGACAUCACACACUGUGUGUGUGUGAGUAGCAGUCCUUAUGGAAGGCUUGGUGCAAUAGAGAGGUUUCAUACAAGCGGUUCAGCCGCUUCUCUGCCUCAA